AGCAUCCUGGGGUGUGCGCCGGUCUGUGUUUUUACCCACAGAUUCAUAAAAGGAUUCCGGGUCGAUAUGCAGAUGCCAGGCCCCCGAUUUUGUUAGGGGAAGGCAGUAAGCAGUCGCAGGUCUCCGCCCUGCCGGAGCGGCGGGUGAAAAAGCAGAGAUUGACGGCACUCUUGGGAUCUUA
rnacentral:other from 1 species